rnacentral:rRNA from 1 species
GACGAACCGUGCGAACGUUAUUCGGAAUCACUGGGCUUAAAGCGCGUGUAGGCGGGCCGGCACGUCGGUGCCUGAAAGCCCCCGGCUCAACCGGGGAACUGGGGCCGAUACGACCGGCCUGGAGGGGCGUAGGGGGACCUGGAACUUCCGGUGGAGCGGUGAAAUGCGUUGAGAUCGGAAGGAACGCCCGUGGCGAAAGCGAGGUCCUGGACGCCUGCUGACGCUGAGACGCGAAAGCCAGGGUAGCGAACGGG